rnacentral:sRNA from 1 species
CUGCUGGUUCUGUUCCUUGGCAGGAUCGCAUUUGAGUUCUACUACGAUACGAACAUAAUCAUAGACAUUUUUGUCCCCCGCCGCAACGCGGAGCGGGGACAUAGAAAUGCCGUGUCCGUGCGUCCGUCCGUCACACUUUUUUGUAACCGCUCUCAUGCCUACAAAGUUUGACGGAUUUUCAUUAAAUUUUUACCAAAUGUUUAUACCACUAAUACUUUGGUCAAGUUCGAAAAUCAGCAUUGGUCGAUACUUUUUGUUGGAGUUAUGGGACUUUGACCACAAUAAUGACUCCGUUUUAUCCAAAAAUUGACCUUGUAAGCGCUCUCCUGCCUACAAAUUUUGACGGAUUUACAUGAAAUUUAUACCAAAUGUUUAUACCACUAAUACGUUGAUCAAGUUCGAAAAUCAGCAUUGGUCGAUACUUUUUGUUGGAGUUAUUGGACUUUGACCACCGUAGUUCUUCAUUGAUUUUAUUACCUAUCAAGGAUGAAUUUUUUGGAAGGUGUUGUUUUGAUAUUUCGUUUUUAUGUCUUCCUUAUUUCAUAAAAUUAUAAUAAACAACAGCAUUUUUCAUGAUUUAUAAUUUAUAAGUAAAACAUUACGGUACAAAAUGUAAAAUCAAAGGUCAAAAUUCCUGUGUAUUGUACAGUAGUACAGUUUUGGAAAUUAAACAAUUAGCUAGUUU